AGAGCUAACAAGUUUAAAUGAAGAUAUCUGCAAAAAUGAAUACUUGAAAACCUAUUUAACACCCAUUGCACGAAACAAGUACUUACAUGAUACAAGUGAUUAAACGGAGCUGUAUUUUGUGAUCAAGUAGACAUGAAUACUUCAUUAAAGAAGAAAGUGUAUAGUGUGUGUAUUUUAGUGAUGUUCGUGAGGAAAUGGAUGCAGAGGCCCACACAAAGUGUCAAUUCAUUCCAACAUGAGUGUGGCUUGUUAUUGUCGCAGACAUAAGAGUGAAACGGUGUGGGAGGAGCUUCUUCAAAAUCUAUCAAUCUAAACAUGAUAAGCCAGGCCCGGAAGUAUUCGUUGAUACCACGGCAGUCGCCAAUUCACCACAGUGCUUCCCUGGUUCAAGGCCCCGUCGCAGCCGAGCGACGAUCACCGGUCACAAAAUCCUGAAG